AUGGAAUGGGUUUGGGUUUAUUUAAGGGCACACAUACGAUGGAAGAAGCACGAGAUAGAGCUCUUACUUUGGUUGAUAAACUCAAAAACUCUUGCCUGUUGCUUGAUGGUCCUGAAAGUGAAUAUUUUUCUGUGCAUGAUGUUGUUCGUGAUGUUGCUAUAUCAAUUGCAUCUAGGGACCAACAUUCAAUUGCUGUGAAUAAUAUUGAGGCUCCUCCAAGGGAAUUGUUAGACAGGGAUACUCUCAAAAAUUGCACUGCGAUCUCUUUACAUAAUUGUAAAAUUGGUGAACUUGUUGAUGGUUUGGAAUGCCCGCGACUUAAGUUCUUCCAUAUUAGCCCAAGGGAGGGUUUCAUCAAAAUCCCUGAUAAUUUUUUCACAAGAUUGACAGAGCUCAGAGUUUUAGAUUUUACAGAAAUGCAUUUAUUGUCACUGCCGUCAUCACUUCAUCUCCUGGUAAACCUUCAAACAUUGUGUCUAGAUAAUGGUGUAUUAGGAGAUGUAGCUGUUAUUGGGGAGCUUAAGCAGCUAGAAAUCCUUAGCUUUCAAGGUUCUAACAUUGAGCAAUUGCCUAGAGAGAUAGGUCAAUUGACUCGGCUAAGGUCAUUAAAUUUGAGCUCUUGUUACCAACUAAAAGCCAUUUCAUCAAAUGUCAUAUCCAACUUAUCCCAAUUGGAAGAAUUAUAUUUGGGUGAUACUUUUAUCCAGUGGGAGACUGAAGGACAAAGCAGUUCUGAAAGAAGCAGGGCUAGCCUUCAUGAGCUGAAGCAUCUAUCUAGCUUGAACACUUUAGAAAUUCAAGUUCGAGAUCCCAAGGUUCUUCCAAAGGGUUUGCUUUCUCAAAAGUUGAAAAGAUACAAAGUAUUCAUAGGAGAUGAGUGGAAUUGGCCUGAUAGAUAUGAGAAUCAAAGAAUAUUGAAACUCAAACUCAAUGCCAGCAUUUGCUUGAAGGAUGAGUUUUUCAUGCAGUUGAAGGGACUUGAAGAACUAUGGCUAGAUGAAGUGCAGGGUGUGGAAAAUGUUGUUUAUGAAUUAGAUAGGGAGGGUUUCCCAAGUUUGAAGCAUCUUCAUAUCCAAAAUAAUCCAUACCUUCUGUGUAUCAAUGACUCAACAGAGUUGGUUCCUCUCGAUGCCUUUCCCCUAUUGGAGUCAUUAUCUCUUAGCAAUUUGAUGAACUUGGAGAAGAUAAGUUGUAGUCAACUCAGAGCAGAGUCUUUCAUCAGGUUAAGAAACCUAAAAGUGGAAAGCUGCGAAAAAUUGACCCAUAUCUUCUCAUUUUCCAUUUCCAGAGGCCUUCCACAACUUCAAACAAUUGAAGUGAUUGCAUGCAAGAGUAUGAAACAGAUAUUUGUGGUUGGUAGGGAAGAUGAUAUCAACAACACUGAAGUGGUUGAUAAGAUUGAGUUUAGUCAAUUGCGCAAACUGACUCUUAAAUCUCUGCCGCAACUUAGAAGCUUUUGCUCUGUAGUGAAGAACAGUUUGCAAAGGCAGCAGGAGCUAUUGGCAAGCGGUACAUUGUCUACUGAAGUCAUUCUGGAUCAUGAGCCUGAUACUAACAAACAAUUUUUCAAUGAAAAGGUUUGUUGUCAACAACCUUGUUCUGUUUCUUUAUAUCCUUUUUGCUUCUUUUGGUUUGUUAAAAAUUAAUUUGUCUGUGCAUAGUUUGUGUUAUUGAAAUUUUCUUUUAUUUAUAUGAAAAUAUGUUGAACCAAAAGCCAUAUAUCUGCAGGUUGCCUUCCCCAACUUGGAGACCUUGAAACUUUCUGCAAUUAAUUCUGAGACGAUUUGGCACAAUCAACUUCCAGCAAUGUCAUCCUGCAUUCAGAACUUAACUCGUUUGAUUGUGCAUGGCUGCAGUAAUUUGAAGUAUUUAUUUUCAACUUCACUCGUCAGAAGCUUGAUGCAGCUUCAGCACCUAGAGAUACGCAAGUGCAUGGACUUAGAACAGAUAGUNNNNNNNNNNNNNNNNNNNNNNNNNNNNNNNNNNNNNNNNNNNNNNNNNNNNNNNNNNNNNNNNNNNNNNNNNNNNNNNNNNNNNNNNNNNNNNNNNNNNGGACAUCAUGCUCCCUCAAUUAAACUUCCUAAAGAUGAAAGAUCUUGCAAAACUCACAAGAUUUUGCUCUGGAAAUUGUAUUGAACUUCCAUCCUUGAAACAGCUGCAGAUAGUGAAAUGCCCUGAAUUGAAGGCAUUCAUUUUGCAAAAUAUCAGCACAGACAUGACUGCAGUGGGGAUUCAACCUUUCUUCAAUAAGAUGGUAAAAGACUUUCACAUUCUUCGCUCUCUAUAAUCUUUGUGGUCUUAUAUUCAAUUAUUUCUUUAUUCUAAAAGAUUUUCCAUUUCUGCUUUCAACUAGAGUAAGAGGUUAGUAACUCAGCUAUUCAAUGACAUAUAUAAUUGCUACAGGUUGCAUUACCUAGCUUAGAGGAAAUGGUACUUUCCAACAUGGGUAACUUGAAGACGAUAUGGCACAGCCAAUUUGCUGGGGAGUCCUUCUGCAAACUAAAACUAAUGGAAGUUAAAUUCUGCAAAAGUCUACGGACUAUUUUUCCUCAUAAUAUGUUUGCAAGAUUCUUGAAACUUGAAUCACUAAUUGUUGGUGCUUGUCGUUCGCUAGAAGAGAUAUUUGAUCUCCAGGAGGUAAAUUCUGAAGAAACACAUUCUGGAGCAGCAACUCAAUUGAGAGAAUUGCAUGUUUUUCAUCUACCAAAAUUGACGAAGCUAUGGAAUAAGGAUCCUCAAGGAAAGCUCAUCUUCAGAAAUCUAGUCGUUGUGAGAAUUUUUGACUGUCAGAGUUUGAAAAAUAUUUUUCCAACCUCCAUUGCCAGGAGCCUUCUGCGACUUGAAACGCUUUCUAUUAAGGAUUGUGGAUCAGUGGAGGAGAUUGUUGCGAAUGACGGAAGGGGUAAUGACGCAGCCACUAAGUUUAUCUUUCCAAGUUUAACAUUCCUCAGACUACGGGAUUUGCCAGAUCUGACAACUUUCUACUCUGGAAUGCACAUAUUGGAAUGUCCCGAGUUGAGAAAACUAGAAGUUAACCACGUAGAUGUGUUUACUUCAGAAUAUAUUCAGGAGGGCCAACUUGAUUUUCCAGCUCAAGAACCACUCUUUUGGUUCGAAAAGGUACGAAUUAUGAUUUUAUUUGCUUUGCUGAAAUGAUCGAUUUAUUUUUGAAAGUUUAGUCACGUUAGUUUGUGACCUGACCAUAUUUUUUUCUCUUUUUUUUUUUCAUUUACUUUUUAUUUUUGUCAUCUCAACUCCAAGCUAGCUUUGUCUGAUUGGUCAACAGGUUUUCGCCAACUUGGAGGAGUUGACAUUAAGCAAAUGUAUCUUCACCACAUGGCGGCAGGCCCAGUUUCACAAGCUCAAAAUUCUUCAUUUCAUUUCUGAUGGGUCAGAUUUUUUCCAAGUUGGUCUGCUUCAGAAUAUUCACAACCUAGAAAAGCUUGUACUGAGUACUUGUGAAUACAAAAAAAUAUUUUCAUGUGAAGAGGUUGAGGAACAUGCCGAGGGGAUCGCACAGAUAAAAAGCUUAAAGCUAAAAAAACUUUGGUUGAUUGAGGAGCACUUAUGGAAUCCAGAUUCCAAGUUGGACUCAUUUCUUCAAAAUCUUGAAUUUCUAGAGGUAAAAAAGUGCGCGCUUAGUUUGAUAAGUCUUGUACCAUCCUCAGCAUCUUUCCGAAAUCUCACAGUUUUGAAGGUAUGCAACUGUUGGCAACUAAUAAGCUUAGUAACACCCCAAACAGCCAAAACUCUUGUGCAACUUAGAGAAUUGAGAGUAUCCGAAUGCAAUAGGCUGGAAGAAAUAGUUGCAAAUGACGGAGAUGCAGACGAUGAAAUUGUUUUCAGCAAAUUGAAGUGGUUGUUUCUUGAAAGUUCGGAAAGUAUCACAAGCUUCUGCUCUGGCAAUUACGCCUUCAGUUUCCCAUCCUUGGAAGAUUUAAUCGUGGAGAAUUGCCCCAAGUUGAAUACUUUCUCUGCAGGAGUUUUGAAGACACCAAGGUUACAAGCAGUUCAAAAUUGGGAACUGGGUGAAGACUUUUGGGCAGGUGACGUCAAUACAACACUUCAACACUUGAAAGAAAAAGUGGUACGCCACCGAUUCAUUAAUCUGUCUCACUAACUUGAUAGCUAGUGAACAUAUUUAGUCUGCUACUGAUAAGAGUUGUGUAAAACUGUAGGCUAAACGUCGCAUGACAGAGGUUGAAUACGAUUCUGAGACGUCGAUGUCAGAGGAAAAUGAGGCGGAGGAGGAGGAGGAAAAUGUAGGGGGUGACCCAUCGGUAUGUUUAAGAUUUAUUUUAUUUAAUUUUCAUAUUAAUGAUGUUCUUUUUUUAUGUAAUUAUGAAUUGAUAUUUAAAACUCUAUGCUUACCUUACUGGUAUAAUGGUAAAUUAAUCAGGCUGAACGUCCCAUGACGUUAUCGCAUACUGAUGAGGAUGAAGAUGAGGAGUAUGAAGAUGAAGAUGAGUAUGGUGAAGAUGAUGAUAUCCAUUCAUGUUGAAAUCACUCACCAUGAGAAGGAUGAUAAACCAGUGACAUUGCUGGAAUGACUUCAACGUUUAUGUUUUGUGUUCCCUGUUAAGAAUAUUAGAGGUACUUUGUUGGGCAAGAAUUGUACAGGUUGAUUCUAACUAAAACCUACCAAAUGGCUUGUUUUAACACGGAAGAUUGUAAUAGCAGUUCAAAACAAUUGAAAGUUAUUGCUUCAAUCACCUCACCUGCCUUGUUUCUUUAAAUGAACCAACUCAAUUAUCUCCAAUGUAUAUUAAUUGAAUUUGAUAAAUUCAUUUCACAACAGCUCAAGACAGUAAUUGAGUGUACUCAGAUUCUUGAAGGUUACCAUACCUCGUGUUGCGUGAUCAACAAAGUAUGGACCCUAACACUUCCAUUUGGUGUAAUUAACUAACUAAAUUGAAAGAACAAAUAAAUUUAUAAAUAAAUAGCUCAAUAGCUCAAAAAUUCAAGUUUUCAGUAUAAUAUCAAUUGGCACAUGUUCAUCAAUGGUGUCAGAUAUCGAAAGGAACACAUUAACCAGAAGGAGUGAGAAAGCAAUCAAAGAACAAAAAAUUGACUGUUGAAUUAGAUGUUAGUUUUUAAAUUUUAUCAAACUUGGAGGGGCAAUUAGUAAUUUGUGAAAUCUCAGAAAUAGAAGAAGCUGGACUUCAACCCGUUCAGGCCCUUUUGCUACUACCCCCGAGGCUUUAGCCCAAGAUGAAAUGCGCACGCGCGAAAUAAGAAACAUAAAAACGAAGCACCACGCAACGUAGCAAUAUGUUGUGGAGACUACCAUAUAAUCAAGUACACGUGGCAUUUUUAAAAGCCUUUCCUUGACUUAAAGGCGUAGAGACCUGUCCAAGUAUGCCACGUCAGCGUCAUUUACAGGGAGGCACCGACGCCAGCCGCAAGCCCGCAACAGCCCACCGGGCAAGUAUGGAGUGUAGGAGUUGUGAAUGUUAACCGGCUUUGCAUUUUUGAAACUUAAUUUAGAAACUAUUAAAUUUUCUCCCCCUCUAAGGCAAUUAAAAAAUGCAUGUGGGUCGCCUUCUGAUAAUAGAAAAUGUCACAUUCUAUGCUACCACUUAAUAGUAAUCAUUUGAGUGAUCUAAUUAAUGAAUUUAUACGGUAUCAAUUUUUAAAAAUAAAUUUAUGCAAAAACCUGUAGUUCUAUUAAAUUUUGAUUAAAUUUUUUAACUUUGAAGAUUAUUAUUAUUAUUAUUAUUAUUAUUAUUAUUAUUAUAAACAGGGAUGGAGCCAGCAUGUGACGAGGUGGGGAUAAAAUUAUUAUUAUUUUAUCAUUUAACUUUGAUUAAAUUAUUAUUUUAGUGAUCCUUUUUACCCUAGUAUAAAUAGAACAAGCUGUCUUUUUCAUUAUAAGAGAGAGAUGGAGAGACAAGAGAGAAAAAAAAAAGAAAAAAAAAAGAGAAGAAGAAAGUCUUCUUCUUCUUCUUAGUUUUACCAUAGACAACACAUGAGAUCAAGUUGUUAUUGUUGGGAGAAGUUUUGAAGGUAUGUUUUAAUUAUUGGUUUCUAUUAAAUUGUUGUGGAGAAACAUGAUUGCAAUAGGAGUAGAAAUCAAAGAUUUUACAUAAAUAUGCUGACAGUGAAUUAUUUCUAAAAUCAUAGUAAUUUGUACAAAUUGAUUUUGAUUAUGAUUUUUGGGUAUGUUAAACUAGACAUCGUCUAAUAUGUUUUGAAACUUGUUUCAAGUUAAUCGGAUAAGAUUUCAAUUAAUUGUGAUUUUUCAAAGUCAAGUCUGAAAACCUAAAAAUUUAUGAUUUCAGUGAAUUACGAAAUUAUUUCUACCAUAUCUAGACUUCUUCAAAAAUUAUGAAAUUUGGACCAAUGAUUUUUAUAUAUGUCUAGUAUGAUUCUGGAAAUUUUCAUGAUUUUAUGAUAAAGAAAUAAAUUGUUUUGUAUUUGUAAAACAAGUGUGUUCAAAACAGAAAAUUGUUUGACAGUAUUGAUGAUGUCUGAAACGUGAAUUAUUUUCCAUUGUUUUGGAAGGAAUUAUGUUAUGAAAUUUUUAUCAAUGAACUUUCAAUGUGUCAGCAUAUGGUCUGUAAAAUUUGAGAUUCUUCCAAUAAGAGAAUAAUUUAUUAAAAAUCAGAGAAGUAUGGACUGUUAUGUUUUGAGGGCCGAUUAUUGAGGACAUUUGAGGUUGAGCUUAGGAGUUGUUUAAAUUGAGAUAUUUGAGGACAUUAGAGUUUGUGAUUGAGAUUUGAUUAUAUCUUAUGAGAAUUUAUUGAUGAUUUUAGGUUGAUGGUAUCAGUACGCAUUUGUUACAUGAGGAUGCCAAGAGGUAAGUGAACUAGACUUUAAAACGAAUCAAAAUAAAUAAUAUAUAUGUUUGACUUAUAUGAAAAGCCUAUUUUGAUAUGUACGAAUAUGGAUUUAUACGUCUCUGCUCAUGUGUUUAUGUGAUGUGUUGUUAUGUAAGGGGCGUGAUUAUGUACAUGGGCAUAUGUGUGUGUGAUGGUUCAUUGGCAUGAGCACGAAAAUGCAUUGGGAUUUCUAUGAAUGAUUUUAGCAAAUAAGAUUUCUGUUUUAUGAGAUUUUGCAUUGGGGGCCACCUCUUGAGACUAUGCGGGGGCCACCUCUUGAGGGCCAGAGCGCCGCAAAGUGCCACGCACAGCACAAAGUGCCACAAUUGCAGAAUAUGCAUUUCAUCGUAAGAAAAUGAAAAAGUUUGAAAGUGACAGAAAGAGAUUUUUAUGAAAUUAUUUUACAGUAUUUCUAAAAGAUCAUGGCAUAUCAUCCAUCUGCAUUAUGUAUAAGUAUGUAUGUACUUUCGUAUAAGAAAAAAUGGUUCACUUACUGAGUUUUAUACUCAUUAUAGUUUAUCGUGAUUCAGUUUUCAGAAGUCAGGAUUGAUUCAUGAUGAGUGACAAGUUGAAGAUGGUAGAUGGUUUGACUAAAUUUUUAAGGUAUUCCGCUGGCUUUUGUAUUUGAGGCUUGAAUUUUUAUUGUUUGUAAAGAGUUAUUUAAAUUAUAUGUGAGUUGUGGACAUAUUUGCCCUUGGAUUUCAGACUGGGGUGUUACAUAGGCCCCAGCUGGCUUUUAAUUUUUUUUUGAUAAUUAUACUAAAAAAUUGUAUUUUAUUUGUUAUGUAUGAAAAAUGCCCCACCUGAAUUGUAAAAUUUGAAAUUGACUCCAAUAAUUUUAAAAUAUUCAUAUUGUCCCUAGUUUAAAUUUCUAGUUAUAAAUAAUUUAAUUAGUUAUUAAAAUUUCAUGAAAAUUGAUUAAAGACACGAGAACAAAUAUUAAAAUAAAAAACAAUCAUAACAAAAUGUUAGUAUAAUGGUUAAUGGACCAGUCUUUAAUCUUUUUAUUUUUUUAUUCAAGUAAAAUCAAUUAUUUAGUCUUUCAACAUUGAACCAUAAGUUGUAGUCUACCUAAUUCUAAUUUUUAAUUUUCUAAUUAAUCUUUUGUCUAGUUUUAAAAUUUAUAAUUUUAUCAUGCAUUUCAUAUUUGUUCUGUGUGUUGUGAUAUAUGAAUAUUUUUGUUAUUAUUAAAAGAUUUUAAGAGCAAAUUAAGUAAUAACCUAGUCUUGUAUAUUGAAAAAUAUAUUUUUGCUUAUAUUGAUAAUGCAUUAUUUUCAACUCAUAAAAUUCCAUUGAGGAGUUUUCACGGAGAACCAUUGUAAUAAGUAAAUUUAUUAUCAAUGAAUAUUAUAGUUGUAAUGUUAUAUAUUGCUAUUUAAAUUUUUGAAAUGUAUUAUAUUUUAAAUAGGGUUUCAAUUAGAUGCAUAUAGACGCACUCUAUAAGGAGCACAAUUGUACAUGUAGCAAGCUCCCAUUUGGAGUUUAUGUGGCUCACAAUACAAUUUCCCAAAUGAGGACAUAUCACACAAGCAAUAGCGCAUUCGAGUCAUGUUUGAUUUUAAAUGUGCCCCGACUUGAUCAAAAUCCUGGCUACGUCCCUGAUUAUAAAGACUUAGAGCGUUAGCCUCAGGUCUGCAAGUCUUUCUUUAUAUUAUUUGUAGGCUGUUAGAUAUUUAUCAAUUCUUUUCUAUGCUUUGUCUCUUUGGCUGAAUGACAUGUGGUUUAUGGUUAUUGAUUCUGAUUUCAAACAUAUAAAUUAUGAAGACAAAUACAAAUAUUUCAUUAUUAUCACUUAAUCUCCAAUUGUUUUGCUCUUUCCCUCCUUAUGUAAUUCAGGCUCUAAAACUGGUACAGGCUGACUCUCAUAUUUUUAAUUUCUCAUUCAUAGCCCCCAAGAACUUUAUAUGAUUCUCUAAUUGCCUAAGUCUUUCUUAAUUACAUCUGACUGUGAAUACAUAUAAAGAGAGUUGUUGGCUUGCUGCUUUCAACGUUUUGUUUGUUUUAGUUGGAUUAUUUGAUUUCGGCCGGUGGCUAGUGUUGUUGAAUAGAAAAUCCAAUAUAUGAAGACCAUUCAAUUCAUUUCCAAACAAAUUAAAACUCAAUUAAUAUAUUCCAAUAUUUUUUUUUAAUAGAAUGGCCUAUUCAGAUGAGUAAAAUGCACAUAACGAAAUAAAAUAAUUAAAAAUAAAAUUAUUAAGGAUGAAAUGUAGUGGAUUAAAUACAAUAUGACAAAAAAAGAUUUUGGGUACUCCUAGAAGAAUUACCCUCAAGUCGGAUAAAUCCCAUUUAUAUAAAUUAUUGUGAAAAUGAGUUGAAGUCUUAGCUCAAGUAGUAAAAAAGUAUCGCUUCUUCGAGGCAAGGUCUUCAGUUUGAGCCUCAGUAAAGGGGAAUGGACUGAAAUCCAGCAUUCCAUAGGAAAAAAUUACAAAAAAAAUGUGAAAGAAUAAAAUGAUAUCGGUCAGAAAAAGAUAAAGCAUAAUGAAACGAAUAAUGCAGCGAUUAAUAGAUAAUGAAGGAAACCUCAAAAACUCCGUUUUGAAUUCACAACAGUAUUCAGUAGCUGGCUUUAUUGUUACAUAAGGUCAUGAAAUAAUCAAGAUUAAAAUCAGUAUCUAUUACUGAACGCUCUAUCUUUUAUUUUCAUUUCUCUCUGAAAUAAUGAAAUGCCUGGUACGCUAGAAAUGUUCUCUUCUGAAUUUCUUACCAAAUGAAAAACACGAAAUUCUUUACUUCCAAUUUUUUAAAUUCAUAAAUUCAUAUAUUUAGUACUUUUUUUUGUCAGUUUUAUUUAUAAUUAAUAGAAUUUAAUCCAAUUAGCAAGUAGGAGCGUCUUUAAGUAUUGAUAAAUUAGACAGUCACCUUAUGUCUCAUAUUAUUAAAAGGCUUCAUUUCUUAGUAUUUCCAUAAUAAUAUUUGAAUUAAUUAAUUUUUUUAAGUUACCUACAGUUAAAAAAAAAAAAAAAAAUUAAUAAGUCUUGUUUUCUAUGACAAGUAGGUUUUGUCUUGUUUUCUAUGACAAGUAGGGUCUUUUCUUUAUUCAAGAGUUGUUUAUCAUUUUGAAUCCUUUGAAGCAUCAAUGACGUCCACAAACACAAGUUCGCAAUCGGCCAUGGAUGAGAUUUAUGCUUCUUUGUCUAUUGAAGAAGAAGACGAGGGGGGUCUCAUAAUAGAGGGAGACGAUGUUGAAGAUGGGAAGGAUGGCAAGAUUGACUUCCGAUUUUGUUUGGUAGGAAGAUUCCUGACGGACAAGGUCAUUAAUUUUCCGGCUAUGAAAAAUACAAUGGCAGCACUCUGGCGCCCAGGGAAAGGGAUUUGUAUCAAAGAUUUGACUCCAACGUUAUUCCUAUUUCAAUUCUUCCAUGAGAUUGAUAUUCAGAGAGUGCUUGACUCCGGGCCGUGGACCUUUGAUCAACACAUCCUUAUUGUUAAGAGGCUGGGUGAAUCAGAACAACCCCAAAUGGUACCAUUAUAUCAUACAUCGUUUUGGAUUCAAGUCUAUAACUUACCAAUUGGCUUUCUUUCUGAGAAGGUGUUGCAGAACAUCGGAAACUAUAUUGGGGAAUUCCAGGCCUCGGAUGAAAAUAACUUAAUGGGGGUUUGGAGGAAUUAUAUGAGGAUAAGGGUAUCUCUUGAUGUUCGAAAGCCGCUUAAACGCCGUAUGAAGCUGAAGAAAACUGGGAGUGAGUGGAUAUGGAUAGAUUUCAAGUACGAGCGUCUUCAUGUAUUUUGUUUUAUAUGUGGGUUGCUUGGCCACACUGAGAAACAAUGUCCAUCUCUUUAUGACUGUCAUGCAAGCACCAUUACAAAGCCAUAUGGGCAAUGGAUGAAGGCUCCCACAAGAAGGAAUAACAUGAAUUCCGGUGAGAAAUGGUUGCGUUCGGUUCCCCCGGAGAUGGGAGAAGGAAAAUAUGGAAACUGCAUGGAAUCCGCGGAUGAUAUGUCGAUUGAUUCAGUGCAUCCCAUAAAAUCAGGAAUUGCAAACUUACGUAGCACUGAGGGAGUGAGAAGGAUAGGUCAGUGCUGCUUAACAAGGCAUCCAAUUUAUUGGUGCCAGCCAAGAGUCAACUUACUAGCAAAGGAAAAGAAGUAAUUGGUACUGGGCCAACAAAAGAGGGUGAGGAGGAUUUUGAGUUGGGCCUUGUAGUUGUUGAGAAUAAAAGAAGAAGAUCUAAGCUAGAACUGGAAGAGAAUCCGGUACUUCAAAGUGGUACCUCGCAUAUGAUGGAGAUAAGUUUGUUUCAAAAAAACGGAUUAGUGGUGGGCUCUGUCAAUCGGGCCCACCGAACCCAAUGAGUAUCCUUAGCUGGAACUGCCGUGGGCUGGGCCAACCACGGACAGUUCAGGUUCUCACAGAUUUGGUCAAGCACAAAAAACCUUCUUUUGUCUUUCUUAUGGAAACUCUCUGCUAUAGAAAUCAGUUGGAGUUUCUUAAAAAUAAAUUAAAUUUCGAAAAUAUGUUUGUGGUGGAUCGGGUGGGCCGUAGUGGAGGAUUGGCCUUACUAUGGGAUGGCAAAUACGAAGCUCACUUAAUCAAAUAUGCAAAGAAUUUUGUGGAUAUCGAAAUAAGAGGAGCGGGUAUGGGUCACUGGCGUUUGACAGGUUACUAUGGGUAUCCAGAGUCAGCUCGAAGACGUGAGUCUUGGGACCUUCUUCGUUACCUUGCUACCAUUUCAUCUCUGCCAUGGAUUUGCUUAGGGGAUUUCAACGACCUACUGUUUAAUUAUGAGAAAAGAGGGCGUCGAGCUCAGCCCAAUUGGAAGUUGCGUGGCUUUCGUGAGGCUGUGGCUGAUGCUGGUUUGGUGGAUUUGGGGAUGGCGGGUUACCCAUUCACUUGGGAGAGGUCGCGUGGUGCAGAGGAGUGGGUCGAGGAGCGGUUAGAUAGGGCUCUUGCAAAUACGGCAUGGUGUAAUUUAUUCCCGCAAGCAAAGGUUUGGAGUUUGGAGGCAACUUGUUCUGAUCACUUACCCAUUUUCGUGGACCAGAAUCCCUCGGGCUUCAUUCAUCGUCACACACGGUUUAGGUUUGAAAAUGUGUGGCUUCGAGAAUCAGAUUGUGAGGAUGUUGUUCAAAGAAGUUGGAGCUCUUCUGCUGGUUUUCCAAUUCAGCAUAAAUUAGCUGUAUGUGGAGGGGAUUUAUGGAUCUGGGGGGGAAAGUUAUUUCGGGAUUUCCGCAAACGUAUUGUGGACUGCAAACAACAGAUGACAAUUUUGCGUGGAAGGAGAGAUCAAGAAGGGCUGGAAGCUUUUACAGAAGUCAGGAAGCAGUACAAUGAAUUACUUCACAGCCAUGAAGUCUAUUGGAAACAGAGAGCCAAGUCUUUUUGGCUUAAAGAGGGGGAUAUGAACUCUCGGUUUUUCCAUACUACAGCCUCCAAGAAAAAGAAGAAAAACAUGAUUGAUAAGUUGCGGAAUCAACAGGGUAUGUGGUGUUCACACCCUUCUGAGAUUGAUGCUUUGAUUGUUGAAUAUUUUCAAACUUUAUUUUCUUCGGAGAGUUGUAUAUGUGAACCAGUAUUAGCUUGUGUUGAGGCUAGUAUCACUGCACUACAUAACCAAUUAUUGUUAGAACCUUUCACGACUCUAGAUGUUAAAGAGGCCUUAUUUAGUAUGCAUCCAGACAAAUCCCCGGGACCGGAUGGCAUGAACCCAGCAUUUUAUCAGAAAUUUUGGCAUGUAGUGGGGAAGGAUGUUACUGAAGCUUGUCUUAGUUAUAUCACGAAUCGAGCUUUCCCAGAAAAAUUUAAUGACACUUUGAUUGUAUUGAUUCCUAAGCAUACGCAGCCUGAACAACUGACAGAUAUGCGUCCCAUUGCAUUAUGUAAUGUAUUAUAUAAAAUUGUUGCCAAAAUGCUUGCAAACAGAAUGAAGCUUGUUCUUGGUGAAGUUAUUUCAGAUUCCCAGAGUGCAUUUGUUCCGGGCAGAGCAAUCACCGACAACAUUCUUAUAUCAACUGAAAUUAUUCAUUACUUAAAGAGGAAAAAACAAGGAAAGGCUGGGACAGCUGCGCUUAAGAUUGACAUGUCUAAAGCGUAUGAUCGAGUUGAGUGGAAUUUUUUAAAGCUCAUGCUGUUGCGGAUGGGUUUUGAUGAGGGUUGGGUCGAGCUUGUUAUGAUGUGUGUUUCUACUGUGAGAUACAAGGUGCUUAGAAAUAGGGUAGAAGUGGGUCCAAUUGUUCCAAGUAGAGGUCUCCGCCAAGGGGAUCCAUUAUCGCCCUACUUAUUCAUCAUUUGUGCUGAGGGGCUAAGUUCUUUAAUUCGUAAUCGUGAAAGGGCAGGAUUAAUUCAUGGAGUCAAAGUCGCCAGGAGGGCCCCUGCGGUAUCCCACUUAUUUUUUGCUGAUGACUGCUUCAUUUUCUUUAAAGCUCAACACAAUGAAGCCAGAAUUAUGAAAAGUAUAUUGGCUGUUUAUGGUGCUGCUUCGGGACAGAAGGUGAAUUUGAAUAAAUCAUCAAUCUCUUUCAGUGCAAAUAUGGGCGAGGAGUCUAUACGCCAGGUGUGUGGCAUUCUGGAAGUUCCUGCCACAGACAAUCACGGAACUUAUUUGGGGCUGCCCUCACAGAUCGGCAGGAAGAAGAGCGUGGUAUUUAAUUUUAUUAAAGAGAAAGUCUGGCAGCGGCUUCAAGGGUGGAGUCAGAAAUUUUUGAGUAGGGCGGGAAAGGAAAUCAUGCUGAAAACAGUAGCCCAGGCUGUUCCAAAUUAUGCUAUGAACAUAUACUUACUGCCUCUGGACUUGUGUAACGAUCUGGAGAUUAUGAUGAAUUCAUAUUGGUGGGGAUCUACGAGGACUGGAGGUAAAGGUAUUCAUUGGCUUCGAUGGGACAAAAUGUGUAAGCCAAAGUCUGUUGGGGGUAUUGGUUUCAAAAGAAUACAUGACUUUAAUAUAGCCAUGCUUGGGAAACAAUGUUGGAGACUUAUGACUAAUCCGCUUUCUCUUGUAGCAAGGAUCCUCAAGGCCCGAUAUUAUCCUAAGGUUUCUUUUGUUGAUGCUUCUGUUGGUUUUAACCCCAGUUAUACAUGGAGGUCAAUUAUGGCUGCCAAGGAUGUAGUAGUGAAUGGUAGUCGCAUACGAAUUGGGAAUGGGCAGCAGGUUCAGCUUUCUAAGGACCCCUGGCUUCCUGAUGCCAACAAUGGCUUUAUCACAUCGGAGCUGGAUGAGAGUCUUGCAACAGCGACGGUGGAUAGUCUUAUGGUGCCAGGGCAACGGAGGUGGGAUUAUGAUUUGAUUGCGGAUGUCUUCAAUUCAAGGGACGCUGCCCUCAUUUUGCAGGUGCCUCUCAGUGUUAGACAAGAUGAAGAUUGCUGGUAUUGGCUUGCAGAUCCUAAAGGGCAAUUUACAGUUAGAAGUUGCUAUAAUCUGCUGAAUUCUGCAGCUAAUGUGACAAGCAGUAGGGUGUGGAAACGCUUAUGGGGGCUGGAGGUUCCAGGUAAGGUUAAACAUUUCUUUUGGCGUGCAUUGAUGAAUGUAUUACCAACAGUGGAUAACUUGCGGCCUCGAAAGGUUGAGGUAUCCCCAAUUUGCCCCAUCUGUAAUGCUGAAAAUGAGUCUGUGUUACAUUGUUUAGUGGAGUGUUUGUUUGCUCAAUCUUGCUGGUUGUUGUCUUCUAUUGGCACUUUUGGGAGCUGUUCUUCUUUGUUUGAUUGGUUUGAGCAAGUAUUUACCCGCUGCUGUAAAGACGAUUGUAAUUUAGCUGUGAUGUUGUGUUGGAGGCUUUGGUUUAAUCGGAAUGAUAAGGUGUGGAAUAAUCAUGGUAGCCGAGCUCAAAGUCUAGUAAAUGCUGCUGGUCAUUGUCUUUUCCAAUGGCAAGAGGCUAAAAGGAGAACUUUCACUAUUGCAGAGGAUAUUCCGUUGGGUCACGGCUCGGUGUGUUGGGGCAAGCCUCCUGUAGGUUGGCUGAAGUGUAAUGUGGAUGCAGGGGUAUCUAGAUCUCAGGGGAGAGUCAGCUUUGGAGGGGUGAUUAGAGACUCUGGUGGUGAUUUUAUUGCAGCAAAGUGUCAGAGUUUCCCUGGUUCUUUUCACCCUCGCGAGGCUGAAGCGUUGGCUGUCCGAGAAGCGCUUAGUUGGAUAAAACAUAUGCAGUUAUCUAAAAUUAUUAUUGAGACAGAUUGCUUAAAUGUGUAUUCUGCUUUACUUUCUCCAUCAGCUAGUUCUAAUGGUUUUGGUUUACUUAUUGCGGAUUGUAGAGCUAUAGCUCAAGUAAUUGGAGAAGUGAGAUUCUCUUUUGUGCGUCGAUCUGCGAACGCCGCUGCCCACAGUGUAGCUAGAGUGGGGGGUUCUAUGUCAGGUCCUAGAGAGUGGAGGGUUGUUCCACCUCUAUGGUUAUGUCCUUUGUUGACUGAUUCUCUUGUUUAAUGAAAUUUCCAUUCAUCAAAAAAAAAAAAAUUCAUAAAUUCAUUAAUCGUGCUUCGUCAUCCUCUGGCCUUUCCACUUGUUUAAUCUGUAAUCCAUAAUUUAGAACAAGAGUACUAUUUGUUGAUUAUAAUACGUUACGUCUUAUUACAACAAUCGUUUUAACAACAAUUUGCUAGAAUCUUUGGGAAUAUUUAAUGGAAAAAUGUUAUUUUCAUAAAAUUGUAAAAAAAAAAAACAAAAAGAUAAAAUUAAUAAAGUGAUUAAGUUUGUCUUUUAUUAAAAUGUUUCUUUCUUUUCUUUUGUGUGCAAAUAAUAUAUGUUAUUUUCCAUAAAAUUGAAAAAAUAAAUAAAACAAAAAGAUAAUAUUAAUAAAGUUAUUAAGUUUGUCUUUUAUUAAAAUGUUUCUUUCUUUUCUUUUGUGUGCAAAUAAUAUAUCUCAUAUUUAAUUUUUGCACAUAAGGUCUUAAGCAGUCAGUUAACAGGAGGCUUGAAAAUAAGGUGAAUUAAUGCUUUGCUCUAUUAAAAGUAUUAAAGCAAAUUUUGUCACAUCAGUGAAAGCACUGAAAGGAGAGAUUUUAGAGUAUAUUAGAGGUACAACACCCCUCAAUGCAUAUAUGAUAUAUAUAGAAAUGUUUCAAUUUGAAAUUUUAAAGUGCGGAAAAGUCCGAGAAACGCAUAAACCAUCUGCUUUAAGCGCUUUAAGCUUUAAGCCUUUAAAACCCUACGGUUUUAAAGCUUUCUCAGACUUUUCAUACACUUUAAGAUCUCGGACUAGAAAACUACCAAUGAUAUAUACAUCAAUUAAAUAUAACUACUUAUUACACGAUAUUUUUUGAAAAUAAAUGCACACAUAUCAUACAUACGUUUGAUGUACUCUAAAAUGAUUUGUGCUCUCAGUAAAUUUUCGACGCUGUUUAGUAUUAAUCAAAUUCUCUCUUGAGAAAUUUUAGAAUACAUCAGAUGUAUUAUGUCACCACUACAACAAACAAAUAAUGUUAUGAUAUGUGCGUCUUUAUUUUGAAAAACCACCAUACAAAUGAUGAUUGGAUUAAAUUUGAUUACACAUGUCAUAAAUACAUUAAUUAAUUAAUUUAUUAGCCGUGAUGUAUUUUAAAAUUCCUCCUCUCUCUUGCCAUCUACUCUUCGCAUUCAUUAUCUUAUUUUCACCAUUCUUCUAGUCAAUACUUAUGUUAUUUUGAUUAGUUCCCUCCUCCUGCAUUAUCUAAAACUAGCCGUCCUUCUUCUAUAAGCUCUUUGCAUUUGUGCUUCGACUAGAAACCCUUCCUUGUUUCCAUCUUCUCAUUUGAAAAAGUCUUUCCCACUACUUCUUGUUGUUUGCUUUUGUAGCCUGUCCUAUUGUUUUUAUGUCUCUAUAACUGUUUUUACUUUGUUUUGCCUUUCUUUUACUUCGUUGCUUCCGCACCAGUUUCAUUUUUCUAUCGAAGCUGUCCAUUUUGUUGUUGUUUUUUUUAAAAUCUCCCUUCUGGUUCGCUCCGUAUUUAUUUACAAUUGAGAACUGUUGGAUGUAAACCUAAAAUCUGAUCAAGGAUAAUAGUCGGAUGUGUCAAAUUUGUGUGCAUAAAACUGCUGACAUGCUGUUGAGUAUGUCAAAUACGCAUCAACGACAUAGUUCUAAUUGUCAUCCAUUUCGGCUAUUGAGGCAUGUGACUGAUCAGGUGCAACACUUAAACCAUUAGCCUAAACGGCACCUAGCUACCGUCGUUUUGACAGCUAAAGCAUAUACACAUGGACACACGGAGAUUAGCUGUUUAAUUGGUUGUCAGUCUGUUAGCUUGAGUGGAAAAAUUCUGGGCUCUAACUAACUCAGAAUUAUAAAGCUUGCUUGAGGGUUUUCUUUUAUGAUUUUUCUCUUGAUGUACAUGAACAAACAAGUUUUUCAUUUCUCAAGUAAAACAUUAUACAUUGAGCGUAAUGCAGAGGUUACAUUUUUUCACACGUAUUGUAGAAGGAAAUGUGGCGUUGCCGUUUGGUGCGGAUCGUGUCUUUGACAAGUGCAGAUCAUGUCUUUGACAACUUCCUUCAAUGUCGUUUUAUUUGACAUUCUCAACACUCCCCCUCAAGCUGGUGCAUAGAUGUCUUGCAUGCUUAGCUUGUCUAGGAAUUUUGUAAAUGCUAUGCUUGAAAUGGCCUUCGUUAAAAUAUCUACAAGUUGAUCUUCUGAUCAAAUUUUCGGCAGUUCUAAGAUUUUUUCAUCUAAUUUCUCCUUGAUGAAAAAUUUAUCUACCUCGACGUGUUUUGUUCGAUCGUGUUGAACUGGGUUAUGAGUAAUAUCUUGUGCAGUUUUGUUGUCAGAGUAUAGUUAUAUUGGUUGUUGUGAUGGAUAGCCCAAAUCUUUUAAAUGUGAAAUUUUUACAGUUUGCUUACUGGAAAACUGAGAAAUUUGAUGGUAUUCGUAGUUUUUGAAGAUCACUUGGAAAUUUUAUGGGACUGUUGAUAGAUUUGUAAACUCAAGUUUUUACAUAUGGUGGCUUGUUUUUUUGAUUGGCAUGGGUUUCUGUAAUGUUAGGAAUGAUUUUAAGGAAGAAAAAUGGUGGAAAAAAUGGUUGUGGGAAGAAUUUGGUUUCCUCUAUUUUUGUUACAAACAGAGCAGCAAACCAUGCUCUGAUACCAUGAAGAAAUAAGUUUUUCAUUUCUCAAGUAAAACAUUAUACAUUGAGUGUAUUUAUAGAUGCAGAGGUUACAUUUUUUCAAAGAUUAAAUAUACGUAUUACGGAAGGAAAUGUGGCGUUGCCGUUCAGUGCAGAUCAUGUCUUUGACAAGUGCGGAUCAUGUUUUUGACUACUUCCUUCAAUGCCGUUUUAUUUGACAUUCUCAACAGUACAAAGGGGGUAUAAAGAAGGGGUUUCGUGAAAUAAUUCUCUAGUUGUAUCCUGAACUUUUAAAGAGUUAGUGAAAUCUUGUUUCAUUGUUUCACAGUGGAUGUAGGCUUAGAAAGCUGAACAACUUAAUUUCCGUUUGUGUGCUUUACAUUUCCAAUUCUCUUAUGCUUCUGUGAUUAGUAAAUUCUUUGUUGAGUUCGAUUGUUUUUGGACUUGAUUACAAUCUCUAGUUUCGCUUGAUUAGGGAUUUGAGGAUUAAUUGCUUCAAGAUUGAGUCUAGGGGGUUAAAGAUCAGCCAUUUGCUUGUUUUAAAUUAACAAGAACUUUAAAAAAGAAAAAAAAAGAUUAAAGAUGGUGGAAAUCAUUGUUAACCUUGUUUUAGAAGUUGUAAAAUGCUUGGCUCCUCAAACAGAUCGCAGACUUGGUUAUCUGCACAAGUACAACGACAACUUCGAGAAUCUCAAGGCAAAAAUUGAGAAGCUCAAGGAUGAAAGUAGGAGCGUUUAGCGCAGAAUUUCUGAGGCUAAAAGAAAAGGAGAAAAGAUUGACGAGAAGGUUGAGAAAUGGCAGGUUAAUACGAACAAGAACAUUAAUGAGAUAGCAAAAUUCAUUUCAGAUGAAAGGCAAUAAAUAGGCGUUGUUUCAAGGGCUUGUGUCCUAAUUUGAAGACCUGCUAUCAACUUAGCUAUAAAGCAGUUACAAUGGAGAAGGCCAUUGUUGAACUUCAAGAAGAAGCUAGAAGAUAUGAUAGAAUUUCCUACUGUACCAUUCCAUAGGAGAUAUGGCUUACGUCUCACCAACGAUAUGAGGCCUUCAAAUCAAGGCUUCCUACUAUAAAGGCCAUACAAAAAGUAUUGAUUGAUCCUAAUUCAGCAUCAUCGGGGUGUACGAGAUGUGUGGCAUUUGGAAGACAACAUUAGUGAAAGAGGUUGCUAGGCUAGCGAGACAAGACAAGCUCUUUGAUCAUGUGAUCUUUUCUGAAGUUUCACAGACUCCUAACAUAAAAAAGAUUCAAGGGGAAAUUGCAGAGAAACUCGGUUUGGUCUUGCAUGAACAAACUGAAUCUAGAAGAGCAAAUAGGCUUUAUGAAUGAUUGAAGGAUGAGAAGAAGAUCCUUAUAGUGUUGGAUAAUGUGUGGAAACAUGUUUAUUUCGACACUGUUGGAAUUCCUUUCAGAGAUGAUCACAAGAAUGUAAAUUAUUGUUGACUGUGAGAGAUCGUAGUGUACUAUUUAAGUAUGGGCUCAAAGGAUGAGUUCUUAAGUGGCGUUUUGAAUGAAGAAGAAACUUGGAGAUUGUUUAAAGUAGUUAAUGUAUCGCAAAGAACAAGGCAAAAAAUUUAUAAUAAUAAAAAGAAAAAUAUUUAAAAGUAAAGAAAUAAAGAAAUAUUUUAUUUCAAUUAUAUUGUUAUUCACUACAAUACUCUUUUAUAUAGAGCUGAAAAACAUAAUAGAAAAACAAAAUAUCUUCCUAAUAUCAAGCCAUAUCUAACCAUCCUAAGGACUUGGUCUAUUGACCAAUUAUUUAGUAAAUCUAUUACUGAAGCAACUAAGACACAUUUCCAACACUCCUCCUUGUCUUAGUAGUUGCAGAGGCCUAAUUUGUUUAUUAACAUUUCAAAUCUAGCUUUAGGUAGAGCCUUGGUUAAGAUAUCUGCAACUUGUUCCUCAGUCUUGCAAUGAAGCAGUUUAAUUUCGCCACCCUUUUGUACUUCUCUCAAGUGAUACAACUUGAUCUUGAAAUGAUUAGUCUUGCCAUGAAAAACAUGAUCAUUUGAGAUUACAAUUGCAGCUUGGUUAUCUAUAUGAAUAUGUGUCAGCUCAUUUUGUUACAUAUGUAAAUCUACAAGUAUUUUCCUGAUCCAAAUUCCUUGAUUUAUUAUAGCAUUGGCUGCUACAUAUUCUGCCUCAGCUGUACUUUGAGCUAUCACAUCUUGCUUCUUUGAAGACCAUGUAAAAAUUCCUAAUCUAAAAUUGAAACAAAAACCUUUUGUACUUUUCAUAUCAUCAACAGAGCCUACUCAAUCACAAUCAGAAAAAUUAUGAGGCUUAAAAUUCUAACAAUAAGAAUAUUUAAUGCCAUAAUUUGUUGUGCCCUUAAUAUAACUUACAAUCCUUUUGUUAGCUUGAAAAUGCACUUCACUGGCAUAAUGCAUGAACCUCGAGAGUACGCUUACUGCAAACAUAAUGUCUAGUCUGGUGGCUAUAAGAUACAUCAAGCAACCAAUCAGGCUUCUAUAUUUGCUUUCAUCAACUUUUUCUGCUCCAUCAUCUUUGCUAAAUUUCUCUUUCUAAUUCAUUGGUGUGCUGGUACUUUUGCAAUCCUCCAUGUGAAGUUUUUUGAGUAUUUCCCUUGCAUACUUCUUUUGGCUUAUGAAGACUCCAUCAUGAUCUUGCUUCACCUUCAUUCCCAGAAAAUAGGACAUCAAGCCAAGGUUUAUCAUCUCAAAUACUUUGAGCAUUUCUGCUUUAAACCCCUUUACCAAUUUCUCAUUACUUCAUGUAAUAAGGAGAUCAUCAACAUAAAUAGAAACUAUAAUUGAGUUAGCAUUUGUUCUUUUACAUAUAAUGUAGCUUCACUUGGACUUUUAAUAAAUCUAAGACUUUGAAGGUGUUCAUCAAUCCUGCUGUACCAAGCCCUAGGGGCUUAUUUAAGACCAUAUAAGGCCUUCUUCAACAAGUAGACCUUCUCCUCAUGUCCCUUGACUUGGAAUCCUUUAGGUUGCUCUACAUAAAUCUCCUCUUGAAGAUAACCAUUUAAAAGAAGAAGAUUUUACAUCUAACUGAUAAGUCUUCUAUCCCUUUUAUUCUACCAAAGCAAGCAUCAUCCUGAUUGUAUCCAAGUGUGCCAUUGGAGUAGAAGUUGAUGAGAAAUCUACUCCAAACACCUAACUAUACCCCUUCACCACUAAUCUAGCUUUGUAUUUAUUUACAGAACCAUCUGCAUUAAGUUUGGUCCUGUAAACCCAUUUGACUUUAGUAAUCUUUCUAUGUUGAGGCCUAUUCACUAACUCCCAAGUGUCAUUUCUUUCAAUCAUUCUGAGCUCCUCUUUCAUUGCUUCAAUCCACUUGUUGUCCUUCUCUAUUUCUUUAAAUUCUACAGGCUAAAAAAAGCAACACUGCUUCUUUCAUAAAUAUUAGAUAAGGGCCUUAUACCUCUAACUGGGACAUCAUUUAUGUCGUCAUUAACAUAUUGCGGUGUCUUUGUCAACUACUUCUUUAUACACUGCUCUCAGUUCAAUUGUUUAUCCUCUAUAAACUUGACAUGUCUACUUAUAAGAAUUUUUCCAUUUUGCAGUUGGAAAAUUCUAUAAGCCUUUGAAGAAUUGCUAUAUCCAAUAAAAACUCAUAGUUCUGCCUUUUUAUCGAGUUUGCCUCUCUUUACCUGUCACCUGUGGCAUAUUAGAGAAACAAAGACAACCAAAAGUCUUUAGGUUCUGUAAAUUUGGUUUGUAACUAAACCACACUUCAAAUGAAUUUUUUUUUUCUGCAAAACCCUUGUUGGCAGCCUAUUCAGCAAAAAAACUAUAGUGUUUGCAGCCUCUGCCCACAUCUUCUUUUGUAAUUCCUUCUCAUAUAGCGCACAUUGUCAUUUCCAUAAUAGUUCAAUUUUUUUCUCACUCACCAUUUUAUUGUGGUGUGUAAGGAGCUGUAAGUUGGUGUUCAAUGCUAGCUUCUUCGUAGUACUUGUCAAAAGUGUCAUUUGUGUGUUCUUUCCCAUCAUCAAACUUUAUCUUCUACAUCCUGCAACCACUUUGAUUGUCCACUAAUUUUUUACAUUUCCAAAAUAUAUUGGCAACCUCAAAUUUGAAUUUAAGAAAAUAAAUCCAGCAAAAUCUGAUAUAAUCAUCAAUAAACCCAAUGUAAUAUUUACUACCAUUUAAAGAUGAUAUUUUCUGAGGUCCUCCAACAUCUGUGUGUACAAAUUGCAGCUUGUGUGUUGAUUUCUAUGUUGUUUGAGAGAAAGGCUUUCUAGCUUGCCUGGCUUAUCGAUAAGCCACACAAUCAACUAGCUUGUCUUCCAACAAAGGAACACUUUUCACCAAAUUAUGUUUAUGCAUAUAUAGAAGUCCAUCAUGGUGGAAAUGCCCGAGCCUUUUGUGCCAUAAUUCUGCAUUGGUUACAGUGCUUGAAAAUGAUAUUUGCUCCUCCAAGAGAUUUAAAGCAAAGUUUUUUGCUUUCAUUUUCACUUUAAAUACAUCUCUACCUUCUACGUCUUUGAUCAAGCACCAUUUGUCUUCAAAUAUAACUUUGAAGCCUUUUUCAAUCAGCUGGCCAACACUAAGCAGGUUCUGGUCAAUAUUAGAUACAUAUAGAAUAUCAGUAAUAGACUUCAAACCUAUUAAACUUUCUAUAGCCACAGUUCUUUUCCCUUUGGCUAGAAUAAAUUCACCAUUUCCAAUUUUAACUUUGGAAAUGAUUGUUUUAUCAGGCUCUUUGGAGAGCUCUUGGUCAUUAGUCAUGUGGUUUGUGCAGCCACUGUCAAUCAACCAGGAAUCCCUAGAGCUGUUGCUUGUCGCGAAGCAUGUUGCUGUUAGCAUAUAUGUAUCCAUAAUAUUGAUUUUGAUGAUAACAAACAAAAUUAAGAAUGAUUCAGUUUUUAAAAGCUCAAAUGAUUUUUAUACAUUUUAAAUAAAUCAUUAUUUUCACAUUUUAAAGGUUUUAUAUUUAAUGGAAAAAUGAUUUUAUGAAAUUAUUUAUUUUUCAAGUUUAUGGUUUAAAUGAAAGAGUUUUGAAAACUUUGAAAUCAACAAAUAUUGAUUGAAAUUUUGGAGAAGGAUUUAUUUGAAAAGUAUUCAUAGCAUUUUGGGCUAUAUCAUAAUUUUAAAAAGUUUUGGGAAUAGUAAGCAUUAUUUAGAAAUUCUGAAAUUGGACUUAUUUGCUAAAUGUAUAAUGUUUUGGGUCAUAGUACAGUUAUAUAAACUUUUGGGGUCAAACUAUUAUUUUACAAAAUAGUUCACUGUAGCAGUCACUGUAGCAGUUACUGUAGAAAACGGAGAUCCGACAUUUGAUAACGGCUCGCCGACAUCUAAUAGAAUUGAAGAUUAGCCUCUGGAUACUAACGACGAUCCGACAUUUAGAUAACGGCUAACCGACAUUGCACAAAAUUGAAAGAUUAGCCUUUGGACACUAAUGGCGAUCCGACAUCUAUAAAACGGCAAUCCGAAAAUUUGAAAAUUUAGCCCAACGGUCAUAUUGACCAGUCAAACAGUGAUCCGACAUCUAGUUAACGGCGAUCCGACAGUGAGCAGAAAGUCAAUAACGGCUAGUUUUCAGCUCCAACUGUAAAUAAGUUCAAUCCAAUUCAAACAAGAAGAAUUCUAACGAUCAUCAUUGAGCAAAAUAUUGAGAAUACAACUUUCAUUGAGCUUUAAAUCCUUGUAUUCAUCUUAUUCAUUCACACAUUGAGCUUUCAUUUGUGAUCAAAUACAUUGUGUGAGAGAAAUUCAUUUGUAAUCCUUUUUGUAAAAUCAAGUUAAAAGAUUUUAAGUGUUGUGAUACACUUGGGUUAAGAGAUUAGGGAUAAUCUCUUGUUGUAAAGGUCCAUUGAUACCUUGAAAGUCAAUUGUAAGCAUUUGAAGCCUUGGAGGCUUGCUUAGUGAAAUCCUAAGCUUGGUGAGCUUGAAGGCGUGGAUGUAGGCAGGGAUUGCCGAACCACGUAAAAAUCAUUGUGUUUGCUCUCUCUUCCCUUGCUCCUUUAUUAUUGUGCUUUAUUGAAUUUAUUGUUUUUGAUUCCAUUAAGGCAUUAGAUUAAAUUGUUGUGUGAUUUGCUUAGCUUAAUUUUUAAAAUCCCAAUUCACCCCCCUCUUGGGUUGCAUAACUAGAAUUUCAUUUGGUAUCAGAGCGAGGUGCUCUUGCGCAGACUUAACCGUUUAGAGUUAAAGAUCAAUAGCAACCCAAAUUAGCUCAACCAUCAUGGAAGGCCAAUCUACCACUAGACCUCCAUUUUUCGAUGGAAAUGAUUAUCCUUAUUGGAAAACUAGGAUGAGAAUCUUUUUACAAGCCUUAGAUUAUGAAAUAUGGGAAAUAGUUUGUGAUGGUUCAUUCAUUCCUAGGAAGAAUGCUUUAACUGAGUUGGAUAGGAAAACUCUAAAAAAUGUGUAUUUGAUAAAGGAGGACUUGGAUAUAAGCCUAACUUGAAACAAAAAUAUUAUAAGAAUUAUUUUGUUAAGGCUACCUCCACAAGUGAUCAUAAAAUUGUUUGUCAUUAUUGCAAUCAAAAUGGUCAUAUGAGUUUUAGAUGUUCAGUUAAGAGAAAUGUAUAUUAUGGAGUCAAGUGUAUUUGGGUUCCAAAAGGAACCAAAUCUAACACUCAAGGACCCAAGAGUAUUUGGGUACCAAAAUGCACAACUUGAAUAUUUUCUUUGUAGGUACCACAAUCAAGGAAUGGCAGAGAGUUCCUUGAUAAAAACUUAUGAGGAUAAUCACUUGAUCAUGGUGUAAGCAAAAAUGAUGAGACAAUAUGAUUUAAUUGUUUUGGUAACAAUUAUUGCCUUAUUGAUUAUAAGUGAUGGUCUUUUAAUCUUAGUAAGUAUUUAAUAAUUCAUUUGGUAACAUAACAUUAAGUGCAUUAACAUGAAGUGGAUAAGUUUAUUUUGCCUAUUUAUUAUGUUGAGUGGAUCAUGAAAAAUGGAUAGUAGCUUGAAUUUGUGAAAGUAUACUUGUAUGUUUACAUAAUUGAAUUAUCAUUGUGUUUAACUUUGAGUGCUUUAUCAUAAUGCAUGGUUAUAUAUAUAUGAUGAUAGCUUGUCAACUCAUCAUUGAAAUACAAGUAUGCAACCCAAGAGGGGGAGGGGGGGGGUGAAUUGAGAUUCUAAAAAUUAUUUGAUUCUAAAACAAAUAAUCAUGCAAAUCUAAAAUGAAUUUAAUGGAAUAACAAUUAAAUCAAUUACAAUAUAAAAAGAUAAGGGAAGAGAGAUUCAAACAUGAAGAUUUUUACGUGGUUCGGCCAACCUCGCCUACGUCCACACCUCCAAGCUUUCCGGGCUUGAGGAUUUCACUAAGCAAGCCUCCAAGGCUUCAAAUGCUUACACUUGACUUUCAAGGUGUCAAUGAACCUUUACAACAAGAGAUUAUCCUCAAUCUCUUAACCCAAGUGUAUCCCAACACUUACAAUCACUUAAAGUAAAAGAUUAAAAAUUAUUUUUCUCUCACACAAUAUUUAAGAUUACAAAUCAAUGCCCAAUGUGUGAAUAGAUGAAGCAAGAAUGUGUUUUAAAGCUCUAUGAAGAUUGUAUUCUCGAAUAUAAGCUCAAUGGUCGUGUUGUGAUCCAUUUUGUUUGAAUUUGAAUGAGCUUAUUUAUAAAUGGAGCUGAAAAACUAGCCGUUAUAGACUGUCUGAUCGCAAACGGUUCGCCAUUAACCAUUAACGGUUCACCGUUUAGGCUGGUCAAAGUUACUGUUGGAACAAUUUUCAAAUAAACAGUUUGCCGUUUAUGGUUACUCUUUCACCGUUAAUUCCUAGAGACCUGCAAGAUGAACAUCAGUUAUCCGUUUACAUUAAACGGUUAAGGAUUUGCAUAAAAUGACCUCUUUGGAAAUUAUCGGUUAGCCGUUUGUAAUUAACGGUUCACCGUUUGUUUCCAGUAACCUGCAAAACAAGUUAGCCUUAUCCGUUUCAGUUAAGCUUUUGCCGUUUGUUUACAAUCUUUCAUUCUGGAUUUUAUCGGUUAAUCGUUUCAAUAAACGGUUCACGGUUUAAUUCCAGUGGCCUUCCCAGCUUUUUGUAUCUUCCGUUUUUUCUUAACGGUUAAAGCUUAAGCAAUUUGAUACUCUCUUGUUUUAAUCGGUUAACCAUUUCAAUAAACGGUUCACCGUUUAUUUCCAGAAUCACAGUUUAAGCCAGAUUUUGCAGAGAAUCAUUUUCCAAUUUGAAAUUUAACAGUGAUCCAUCUUCUAUGAAUAUAAUUGGAAUGUUUAUAAGGCUCUCGUUUAUUAAGGAAUAGCUCCAACAUUUUAAUCAAAAUCCAUUUAAAGUUUGUUAUCAUCAAAAUCAAUAUUAUUAACAUAUUCAUGUUAACAAUCAUGAUGGAUUUGUUUGAUUUUAAUGAUUAUGUAAUGCCUAAGCAUGAUAAAUAAGUGAUAUGCUUUAAUUCUCAAUCUUUGAAUGCUUACAUAUUUCAUGAUUGUGUGAUGUAUAUGCAUGAUAGAUGAGUUAUAUGUUAUUUCUUGUAUUAGAAGUGAUCAUGGUGGAGUAUUUGAAAAUCAUGCAUUUGAGAAUUUUUGUAAUGAUUUUUCCAUUGAGCAUCAAUUUUCAUCACUUAGGACUCCACAACAAAAUGGAGUUGUAGAGAGAAAGAAUAUGUCUAUUCAAAAAAUGGCUAGGACCAUGUUGAUUAGAUCUCAUCUUAAUAAAACUCCCUAUGAGCUUUGGAAAGAUAGAAAACCCAACAUUGGUUAUUUCAAAGUUUUUGGAUGCAAAUAUUUUAUUUUGAACAUAAAAGAUAAUCUUGGCAAAUUUGAUCCAAAAUUUGAUGUUGGUAUUUUUUCUUGGCUAUUCAAUCACAAGCAAAGCUUAUAGAUUGUAUAACAAAAGAACUUUGGUUGUGGAAGAAUCUAUACAUGUUACAUUUGAUGAAUCUAAUUCUUCCUCUACGGAGAAAGUUGUUGUUGAUGAUGAUGUAGAUGAAAAGCUAGAAGAAGAUUCAUCAAAGGAUAGCCAAAAGAAUGCACCACUUGAAAAUCAAGAGGCGCAACAUGAAGAAACAAAUGCGGAGUAAAAUGAAGGGGAGAUUUUGCCGAAAUUUUUGCUCGCACAAAAUGGGUAAUAUCUUCAUUGAAUUAUUUUUGAUGAUCUUGUUUCGAUUGCAUCUAUCUAUCAUUUUUUUUAAUAUGAUGAAGUGAGAGAUAAAUAUGAUAUGUUUUUGGAUAAAAUCAUUUUGGUUAAAAUUUUAAAUUGGCCAUAUAUUUAGGGGGAGCAUACAAUAUGAUUUUGGAUAAUAUGCAUUUUGAAUUUUUUUGUUGUCCAAAGGGGGAGACAAAGUAAUAUAUCAUUUCGAUGUUGUCAAAAGGAGGAGAAUAAUAUGCACUUUGAGUAUUGUUUUGAUGAUUGAUAUGUGAUUAUGGUGAUGAUUUUGGGAUAUGAUGAUGAUUUGACUACAUGGUUGUUUUAUAUGAUAAUUUUAUAAGUUGUUGAUUUGGUAAUUGAUGAAAUAAUAGUUCAUGAUCUUUUUAUGGUUGAUGAAUUAUGUGAUGAUUUGUAUAUGGAGUUGGCUUGUAUCAUGAUUUAUAAUAAUUUGGGAGUAAUAUUAUUAAACUUGUAUUUGAGGUAAUGCUUGUUGUUAGGGGGAGAUUCUAUCAAAAUUUCUACUCGGCAACAUGGGCAACUAAUUUGCUACUCUUUUUCUUUUCCACUAAGUUUUCUUUUUGAUGAUGAGGGGGAGAAGAAUACAUGUAUUUAAAUUUGUUAAUUUACCUAAAUUGUAAGAGAAGCUUACAUUUAGGGGGAGCAAUUUGUGGAAUCAUUCUUUAAAUAUAUGAAAAGUUUGUCAUCAUCAAAAAGGGGGAGAUUGUUAGCAUAUAUGUAUCCAUAAUAUUGAUUUUGAUGAUAACAAAUAAAAUUAAGAAUGAUUCAGUUUUUAAAAGCUCAAAUUAUUUUUAUACAUUUUAAAUAAAUCAUUAUUUUCACAUUUUAAAGGUUUUAUAUUUAAUAGAAAAUGAUUUUAUGAAAUCACUGUAGCAGUUACUGUAGAAAACGGUGAUCCGACAUCUUGAUAAUGGCUCGCCGACAUCUAACAGAAUUGAAGAUUAGCCUCUGGACACUAACGGCGAUCCGACAUUUAGAUAACGGCUAACCGACAUUGCACAGAAUUGAAAGAUUAGCCUUUGGACACUAACGGCGAUCCGACAUCUAUAAAAUGGCAAUCCGAAAAUUUGAAAAUUUAGCCCAACGGUCAUAUUGACCAGUCAAACAGUGAUCCGACAUCUAGUUAACAGCGAUCUGACAGUGAGCAGAAAGUCAAUAACGGCUAGUUUUCAGCUCCAACUAUAAAUAAGUUCAAUCCAAUUCAAACAAGAAGAAUUCUAACGAUCAUCAUUGAGCAAAAUAUUGAGAAUACAACUUUCAUUGAGCUUUAAAUCCUUGUAUUCAUCUCAUUCAUUCACACAUUGAGCUUUCAUUUGUGAUCAAAUACAUUGUGUGAGAGAAAUUCAUUUGUAAUCCUUUUUGUAAAAUCAAGUUAAAAGAUUUUAAGUGUUGUGAUACACUUGGGUUAAGAGAUUAUGGAUAAUCUCUUGUUGUAAAGGUCCAUUGACACCUUGAAAGUCAAUUGUAAGCAUUUGAAGCCUUGGAGGCUUGCUUAGUGAAAUCCUAAGCUCGGUGAGCUUGAAGGCGUGGAUGUAGGCAGGGAUUGCCGAACCACGUAAAAAUCAUUGUGUUUGCUCUCUCUUCCCUUACUCCUUUAUUAUUGUGCUUUAUUGAAUUUAUUGUUUUUGAUUCCAUUAAGGCAUUAGAUUAAAUUAUUGUGUGAUUUGCUUAGCUUAAUUUUUAAAAUCCCAAUUCACCCCCUCUUGGGUUGCAUAACUGGAAUUUCAGUUGCAACAAAAUGUUGCUCCUCUUCAUGUUGCUCCGUAGAAGUGUUUGCCUUUUCAUGUUGUUAAGACUUGCAAAUAUGCUCAAUGUGUCCAAUCUUACCACAUUUUCUGCACUUGACAUCAGGCCUCCACCAACACUUCAUUUGUGGAUAAUUUGUCUUUUUAUAGUGUGGGCAUGCUUGAUAGAUCUUAUCCUUGUUUCUGUUGUUGUUGUUGCUAGUCUUUUUCUUCCUUUUGUUGUUGUUCCUAUCUUUAGCUCUUCUUGAACUUUCUGCCCUUGCUUGAAGAGCACUCUCCAUCGUUUCUUAUUUUCUCAUCAUUCUCUUUUACUAUGGUGCCUAUAAUGCAUUUACCAAUUUUGGUAAGGAUAUUCUUGACAAAUCCUUAGAUUCUUUUAGUGAAGAUAUUUUAGACUCAUAUAUUUCAGGCAUAAUAACAAGAAUUGUUUGCGCAAUUCGUUCAUCAGAGAAGUUCUUACCAAGCAACCUCACCUUAUUUACUAUACUUUGCAGCUUGUCAGAGUAGUUUUUGAUGGUUUUGUUAGGAUUAAGCGCUUACUACUAGGCUAAAAGCUUAGGUUAUAGCCAAGACGCAACUUUAUUUUCUUAUACCAUGGAAGCACAGAGCUCCACACUAAGCGGCGAGUGGAUAUGAGGGGCUGUACACAUUUGUAAUUGUGCCAACGGGUCAGGCAGUUACACCCUAGGUAACCUUACUGCCACCUCAAUGGAAUUACACAGUAGGAUGUUACACCUACAAACGCACAGAAGAAUUGUUGCAACCCAAGAGGGGGGUAAAUUGGGAUUUUAGGUUUCUGUCUCUUUCAUUUUCAGCAUUUCAAACUUCCUGAUCAAAUUGAGUGUUGGAUAUUUUUACUUCUUUCAUUGCCUUGGUAUUUCUUUUUAAGGUAGUCCGAUAUACUCUUUGUUGACUCCAAAUUGAUUAUUCUUGUAAAGAUAAUGCUUGAAACAACAGAGAAUAGGCAAUAUUUAGCUUUGGACUUCCUAGUCUUCCUCUCUUUAUGGGUCUUAAGCUGAGCCAUUAUAGGAUUCGUUGGCAAUGAGGGCACAUCAUAGUCUUCCUCUAUCAGAAGCAAUAUUUAAAGAAGGUACUACAACAUUUUGGUAUGACUGAGCAGACAAACCUGUGAAUACCCCGUUAGCUUUUGAUAACUCUAUGAAAUAAGAGUUAUCAUGACAUUUUUAAACUUAAAUCAAUAAUACUUAGAGAGUAAAAAAUGUGUUUUCAUUAGAUUUUUAUUAUAUUUUGCAUAAACAUUCAUCUUAGUUUAUUCAUAAUAAAUUUUGUUUGAUUUAGAAUAAUUUGUAUGCUAAAUCAUAUGCAUAAUUGUAGGUGUCCGGAAGCCCAAAUUUCAAGGAAUGCUGAUGCAAUAGGCUUGCAAAAGAUGGAAAAGAACUUAGCUACAAAAGAAUUGAAAUAAAUCGGGAACAGUGCAGUUGCUGUAGCCGUUGCUGUAGCAACCAUUGCUAUAGCAAUCCUGGAACAACGACAGAGAAAAUUUCCCGCGGGAUACUUGCAGAAUUGCGAUCUGUAGUUUCCUAAUCUGACUUAUGCGCGCCCUAGGCUUCCGUUUACCCUAAUUUUCAGCUAUAAAAGAAGCACACAUCAGAAGGAAUAAGAGGAGCCAUCACCCAAGGAGAAAAACACAAAGAAACAAAAGAAAAACAAGAUUCAAGAGAAAGAUUAAGGGCUGCACAAGAGGAGAAAUUGCAGAGAUCAAUCGGGAGCUCAGUCCUUCUUAUUCUUCUCUUAUUUUCUUAUUUUCUAUUUAUUUAUGGGGAUGUGUUUCAUGGCCGAAACUUUGUUCUUUAUUUUUCUUUUGCAAAUCAUGAACUAAAUUUAUUUAUAGUUGAGUGAUAAACAAUCUUGAUGGUUUAUUGACUAAAAAUAUGAGUUGCUGCAUGUUUGUUGUAGAGUUUUGUUUUGAUAACAUUUAUUUUUAUUCAUUAUUUCGGCUAAUCACCCAUUUAAUGAUACAAGUUAGGAGAGAGCCACAAAAGGGCCUAUCUUAGUGGAACAUAUAAGAGCAAUACUUGGUUUUAGAUUGGGUUUCCUGGAUUGAGUUUAACUUAUCCCAAAAGGACCAUGCUUAAUCUAAAAUUAGUGAUGAACUAGACAUAGAGAUUCGCCUUGUAGGGUAAAUAGAACCUAAGCGUUUAAUGCUAUAUCUUAUGUUGGCAUAACAACUGAUCACUGUUAGGUUGUAUAUAGAUAUAAGAUAUCAAACAUUCGACGGCUGAUGAUACAUAAGGAUUCUGCCCAGUGCUGUAGCAACUGAGCCAACCAUUAGAAAAUAGUCAAGACCAUUAGGAGAGUUUAUUCACUCAAAUACUCUAUAUUCCCAUUGGUUUUAUCCUUGAUCUUGACGUGAUAAUUUACUUUUUUGUAUUUUAUUUAUUGCGUUUUUAUUUUAAUUAGUAGAUUAAUUUCAUUAAUUGUUUUAUCUUAAUUUAAAGCAAAAUCUGCACUGUUAAGAUUCCUGUAGCAAGUCUAAUAACAUCAAUCCAUAUCGAGACGAUCUUGAAUACUCAUCACUUUAUUAUUUGUUGUGUACACUUGCACAUUGACACUAAUAGCAUUUGAAUUUAUACCCAACAACUUCUCAUUUCAAGCUUUCUGCACAACUAUCUAUUUCGACAGAUGCGAAACAAGAAUAUAUGUUGCAACUUCCGUACUGAAAUGUAGUGGGUAACUUGAUGUAUGCAAUGGUGUGUACAAGGCCUGACAUUUCACAUGCAGUUGGUAUAGUGAGUAGGUUCAUGGAUAAUCCUGGAAAAGGGCAUUGGCAAGCUGUGGAAUGGAUUUUUCAACACAUUCAAAAGACUAUGGAUGUUGGUUUACUGUUUGAGCGAGAUGAUAUACUUUGUCAAGAUGUAAUCGGGUACGUCGAUUCUGAUUAUGCUGGUGAUUUGGACAAACGAUAGUCAACCACCAGAUAUGUAUUUAUUUUUGCUAAAGGGCCAAUCAGUUCGAAGUCUACACUACAGUCUACAGUUGCACUGUCAACCACAAAAGCUGAGUACAUGGCAAUUACAGAGGGUAUUAAAGAGGUUAUUUGGUUAAAGGGUUUGCUUGAAAACUUGGGAUUGGUCCAGGAACAUGUUAACGUGUAUUGCGAUAGUCAAAGUGCUAUUCACUUAGCAAAAAACCAACUUUAUCAUGCACACAUGAAGCAUAUCAGCGUACGAUUUCACUUUUUGCGGGAAAUUAUUGAUGAGGGGAAGAUUCUUCUACAGAAAAUCAAGACUGCAGAGAAUCCUGCAAAUAUGUUGACCAAGGUAGUGACGGCAAUCAAGUUUGAGCAUUGUCUAAACUUGAUCAAUAUCCUACUAGUUUGAAAGCAGUCCGAGAAGGCAGAGACCGGAGGAUGGUUUGCUGAUAGUCGGCUCAAAUUAAAAAAUUUUCGCUGAAGUGGAGAAUUGUUGAAAAGUCAGUCCACCAAAGCUGAUUUUUUGUACAAUUUGGCUUGACAAAUUGGAGGUUGGUGGCACAAAUAUUUGACAAAAUGAAGCCAUGCAUGCAUGAAGUUUUUAGUGGCUACCAAAGUUGAUUUUUCAUUCUAAAUUCAAUUUGACAAUUUGACAAAUUGUAGCCAAAUUGGAAAGCAGUAGGUAAGCAUUACUUGCCUAUAAAUAGAGAGGAAAGGAAAAGCUUCAAAUCCAUCCUAAUUGAGAAAAUUGAGAGCAAUUGCAAGUGAAGCAAUUAGAGAGUUUUGAGAGAGCUUCCACUAGAUGCCGCAUGACAAAGGUUGAAUACGAGUCUAAGAUAUCGAUGUCAGAGGAAAUUAGGGAGGAGAAGGAGGAAGAUGUAGGGGGUGACCAGUUGGCUUGUUUAAAGUAUUUUUUAUUUUUUAGAUUAAUUAUGCUCUUUUUGAUGUUAAAUUAUGAAUUGAUAUUUAAAACUCUAUGCUGACCUUAUUGGUGUAAUGGCAAAUUAAUUAGGCUGAACGUCCCAUGAUCUUAUUCUUAUCGGACACUGAUGAGGAUGAGGACGAGGAGUAUGGUGAAGAAGAUGAAGAUGAGGAGGAUGAUGGUGCAGGUGAUAAUAUCCAUUCAUGUUGAAAUUACUUACCAUGAGAAGGAUGAUGAGCCAGUGACAUUGCUUGAAUGACUUUGACGUUUAUGCUUUGUUUUCCUUAUUAAGAAUAUUAUAGAUACUUUGUUGGGCAAGAAUUGUACAUGUUGAUUCUAAUUAAAACCUACCAAACGACCUGUUUUAACCCGCAAGAUUGUAACAGUAGUUAAGAACAAUUAAUUGAAAGUUAUUGCGUUGAUCACCUCACUUCACCUACCUUGUUUCUCUAAAUGAGCCAACUUAAUUAUCUCCAAUGUGAGAAAAUAUAGAAUACCUCAGAUGUAUUACAAUCAAUUGAUGCAUGCAUUACAUGUGUAGUUGAAUUUAAUACAACCACCACUUACAUGAUGGUUUUUCAAAAUAAAUGCACACAUGUCAUGACAUUAUUUACUUGUUGUAUGACUGACGUGGUACCUCAGAUGUAUUCUAGAAUUUCUCCUCUAAUGUAUAUAUUACAUUGAAUUUGAUAAAUUCAUUUCACAAUCUAGAGAAUUUCGCCAAUUAAUGCAGCCCAAAACAAUUAUAAUGAAUUCACUAAGACUUUUGAAGAUCAUUGCUUCAUGUUCCGGGAUAAAAAAUAUGUGGAUCCUAGCACUUCAUUUCUGUAAUUAACCAACUAAAUUGAAAGAACAAAUUAGUAUAUGAAUAAAUAGCUCAAAAUAUCACAAACUAUCUUAGUAUCCUGCUAUGCGUGUUUUAGAUCUUUCAUCAAGGUUUAGAAUUGUCUCUUAGAUUUUUUUUUUCUUUUUUCCCUUCUUGUGGUUUGAUUGUCAACAUUGAAAUUGUAAAUAGAGUGAAAAAAAACCCAACUUGAUUGUUAAUAUCAAAAUUCAAAACUUAAUUUUAAUUAAUGAAUUAAGAGAGGUUAGGAAUGAAAUGAAUUAAAAAGAGAGAGAGAGAGAGGAUUGUUGUCCUUAUAUCAAUACUUUCAAUGGACCUACAUUCUACCAGAUGCUUUUUAAUUUAUAUAUGUACAUAUAUUUUUUGAAUGAUCCUGAGGGAAAAAAAAAUAAAACUACAGAGAUUAUCAAUUUUAUUACUUUAAUUUUUCUGAUAUAUUAAUUCAUCAUUAGAAAAGUCUGAUAAUAGCUCAAUAAAAGUUUGAGCACAUUCGGUACCAUUUUCUACAAGCCAUUUUCCAUUUUUUGAGAAUAAGAUGGUAUAAAACUUGGUGGGACUAUUUUUACUUACAAAGAACUUUUGUAAAAGCAUAUGCUUGCUUUAACUUUAGCGGCAUGUAUAUCCAUUGGCUGUCUGCCACAAUUAAAAAAUGUCAAAAGGCAUCUACUUUAUUUUCACUUCGUGGAAGGUUGGAUUCAUACUCACAUUUCUUUACUAUCUUUGUAUCAUUCUAUCUGCCAUUUGAUUAUUAUUAUAGUCUAUUUACUACUUCCCUGUUGUCCAAGAUUUGGUCCCGAGUUCUAUAUUUUCAAAAUUUGAUCUCAAUAACACCUAGCUUCUUUAUUUUUUGCUGUUAUUCUGUUAUGCAUUUUGCUUGAUUUCUAUUUUCAUUAAAAUGGUUGAAAUUGCGGUCGCGAUUGCUGUAAAAGUUGCUGAGUGCUUGGUACACCCCAUAAUUCAUCCGUUUGCUUACUGCUACAACUACAAGAGCAACUUAGAGAAACUCAAGAAUGAAGUUCAGAAGCUGAGGGGUGCCAAAGAGAGUGUCCAGCAAAAGAUUGAUGAUGCUAAAAGAAGUGGGGAAGAUAUUGAGCAGAGAGUUGAGAACUGGCUGAUUACUGCUGACGAGAUCUUGGAUGCUGCCGCAAGGAUCAUUGAAGGCACCGAGGAUACAACUAACCGAUUGUGUCCUAAUUUAAACACCCGCUAUCAGGUUAGCAAGAAAGCAGCUAGGGAGGUGAAGGCAGCAGCUGAACUCCUGCAGCAAGAAGGGAGAUUUGAUAAAGUUUCCUACCGUACAGUUCCAGAAGACGUAUGGCUUACUUCCAUCAAAGGUUACGAGGCUUUUGAAUCAAGAAUGUCCACUUUGAAUGAUGUGAUAAAUGCCUUGAAGAAUCCUGACGUUCACAUGAUUGGGGCGUAUGGAAUGGCCGGGGUUGGGAAGACAAUGCUAGUGAAGGAAGUGGCCAGGCAAGCUAAGGCUGAUAAGCUCUUCGAUGAGGUGGUUUAUGCAGAGGUAUCUCAGAGGCCAGACGUAAAAAAGAUCCAAGGACAAAUAGCAGAUAAGCUGGGUUUGAAAUUCUACGAGGAGAGUGAAUCCGGAAGAGCAAGGAAGCUAUGUGAACGAUUGAGGAAAGAGAAGAAGAUCCUUGUGAUUUUAGAUGACAUAUGGACAAAUCUUGACCUUGAGAAUGUGGGAAUUCCUUUUGGAGAUAGGGGAUGCAGAGUUUUGAUGACAGCAAGAAGUCAAGAUGUAUUGUCAAGUAAGAUGGAUUGUCAAAAUAAUUUCUUGAUUGGUGUUCUAAAUGAAAGUGAAGCUUGGGAUCUGUUUAAGAAGUUAGUGGGUGAUAAAAUUGAAAACAAUGAUUUGAAAUCUCUAGCAAUGAAUAUAGUAAAGGCAUGUCGAGGUUUGCCUAUUGCUAUUGAUACAAUAGCUAGGGCAUUAAGAAACAAGAAUACAUUUGAGUGGAAGAGUGCGCUGCGAGAACUAACAAGGCCUUCCUCAGGUAGCUUCUCAGGAGUGGCAGCUGAGGCGUACAAAACUUCAGAGUUGAGUUACAAUCAUUUAGAAGGUGAGGAACUCAAGUCAACCUUUCUGCUUUGUUGCUAAUGGAUUUUAUUGAAAUCCUUCAGUUCUUUAUUUGUUGAGCUAUGGAAUGGGUUUGGGUUUAUUUAAGGGCACACAUACAAUGGAAGAAGCACGAUAUAGAGCUCUCACAUUGGUUAAUAAACUCAAAAACUCUUGCUUGUUGCUUGAUGAUCCCGAGAGUGAAACUUUUUCUGAGCAUGAUGUUGUUCGUGAUGUUGCUAUGUCAAUUGCAUCCAGAGACCAACAUGUAAUUGCUACGAAUAACAUUGAGGCUCCUCCUACGGAAUCGUUAGAUAAGGAUACUCUCAAAAUUUGCACUGCGAUCUCUUUGCAUAAUUGUAAAAUUGGUGAACUUGUUGAAGGUUUCGGCAACUUAAGUUCUCUCUGC
rnacentral:lncRNA from 1 species